CAGAGAGUGUGUGCCAGCAGCCGCGGUAAUACGGAAGGUCCGGGCGUUAUCCGGAUUUAUUGGGUUUAAAGGGAGCGUAGGCCGGAGAUUAAGCGUGUUGUGAAAUGUAGACGCUCAACGUCUGCACUGCAGCGCGAACUGGUUUCCUUGAGUACGCACAAAGUGGGCGGAAUUCGUGGUGUAGCGGUGAAAUGCUUAGAUAUCACGAAGAACUCCGAUUGCGAAGGCAGCUCACUGGAGCGCAACUGACGCUGAAGCUCGAAAGUGCGGGUAUCGAACAGG
rnacentral:rRNA from 1 species